CCGAAAAUGGUGGUUUAAAUCCUUCCUAUACUA
rnacentral:tRNA from 1 species